UCCUCCCUAUAGGCUGUCUCGUCGUUGUCGGUGAUCAGGCCUACCACUGUUGUGUCGUCUGCAAACUUAAUGAAUAUUGGAUUCGUGCCUGGCCAUGCAGUCGUGGGUGAACAGGGAGUACAGGAGGGGACUGAGCAAGCACCCCUUGGGAGCACCAGUGUUGAGGAUCAGCGUGGCAGAUGUGUUGCUUACCUACCCUCACCACCUGGGGGCGGCCCGUCAGGAAUUCCAGGAUCCAGUUGCAGAGGGAGGUGUUUAGUCCCAGGUUCCUUAGCUUAGUGAUGAGCUUUGAGGGUACUCUGGUGUUGAACGCUGAGCUGUAGUCAAUGAAUAGCAUUCUCACAUAGGUGUUCCUUUUGUCCAGGUGGGAAAAGAGAUUGCAUCAUCUGUGGAUCUGUUUGGGCGGUAUGCAAAUUGAGUGGGUCUAGGUUUUCUGGGAAAAUGGUGUUGAUGUGAGCCAUUACCUACGUUUCAAAGCACUUCGUGGCUACGGACGUGAGUGCUACAGGUCUGUAGUCAUUUAGACAGGUUGCCUUUGUGUUCUUGGGCACAGGAACUAUGGUGGUCUGCUUGAAACAUUGGUAUUACAGACUCAAUCGGGGACAUGUUGAAAAUGUCAGUGAAGACACCUGCCAGUUGGUCAGCACAUGCCCAGAGCACACGUCCUGGUAAUCCGUCUGGCCCCGCAGCCUUGUGUGGCUCAGGUCCUGCAUGGAUCUGUUAGAAGGAGCUGUUAGAAAUGGACAGUCUACCCAGCUGAAAGACUGCAUGACAGGACAUUGGAGAGCCAGUCUAACACAGGGAGAAAACCAGACAGAAUAACACACAGGAGACAUCAAGACUGUUUCUCGUCGAUUCAGAAAACAGAGACAACAACAGGAGGAGGAGUUGACAAUGGAAGCUAAGUUACCAGAGAUCCAAGAGUGCUAAUCGACAGACUGGAUACCAAUCUUCACGAGGGACACACAAGCAGAAUGGAUGCUGUUAAACUAUAAUCACCACUCUCUGCAUUUCUCUCCAUCUCUAAUUAUUUGUUAGUUUUGUGAACGUUGAAAUCCUGAACUAGAGGGUUUAGGGUGAAGGGAUAUAUAGAAUCGCCCAAUAGAGGAAGUCUUGAAGAGAUGGCACAAGGAGACGGAGUUACUGAACAUGAGAGGGAGACGGCUGAGGAGGAGGAUGCCUUGCUACACUUUAGCCGCUAUGCCGAGGCCCGCCAAGCCCUGCCCUGGGACCAGAAGACCCGCAGGGAAAAGAUUACCUACUACACUGACCGCUGCUUUCUCAUCUUCGUCAUCAUCUUCCUGUCUGUGCUGUUUGGGGAGGCUAUGUACAAAGCAUGGUGGGUGUCAAACGGGCAUAAGAUUAAGGCGUUUUUGUUCAAUUUUGCCACAUACCUGUUCGCCCAGGAGGAAGGGGAGGACAUGAUUGAACUGUAGGCCUAUAGGACAGUAUGACAUUGACAGAUAUGCCGAACACAUCCUCAUGAUCACCUGAGGAUCACCACACCUGAAAUUAUUACCUGUCAGUCAGUAGGCUAUUUAGUUUUGACACAAAUAUUUUGUUUUUAUUUGUUAAUGAAUGUGUGCAAGGACAUCAACUAGAUAUAAUCAGAACCAUUGUCUGAACUCCAAAAUGGUUAAUUAUUCAAUAAAGUCAACUGUCUACAUUAAUAA